rnacentral:rRNA from 1 species
GACGAACGCUGGCGGCGUGCUUAACACAUGCAAGUCGAACGGAAAGGCCCUGCUUGCAGGGUACUCGAGUGGCGAACGGGUGAGUAACACGUGGGUGAUCUGCCCUGCACUUCGGGAUAAGCUUGGGAAACUGGGUCUAAUACCGGAUAGGAGCCAUCUUUAGUGUGGUGGUUGGAAAGUUUUUUCGGUGUAGGAUGAGCUCGCGGCCUAUCAGCUUGUUGGUGGGGUAAUGGCCUACCAAGGCGGCGACGGGUAGCCGGCCUGAGAGGGUGUACGGCCACAUUGGGACUGAGAGACGGCCCAGACUCCUACGGGAGGCAGCAGUGGGGAAGAUUGCACAAUGGGCGCAAGCCUGAUGCAGCGACGCCGCGUGGGGGAUGAAGGCCUUCGGGUUGUAAACUCCUUUCGCUAGGGACGAAGCUUUUUGUGACGGUACCUAGAGAAGAAGCACCGGCUAACUACGUG